GACGAACGCUGGCGGCGUGCUUAACACAUGCAAGUCGAACGGAAAGGCCCUGCGUUUGUGGGGUGCUCGUGUGGCGAACGGGUGAGUAAAACGCGAGUAACCUGCACUUGACUGUGGGAUAACUUCAGGAAACUGGGGCGAAUACAGGAUAGGAGAUCCUGCUGCAUGGUGGGGGUUGGAGAGUUUCGGCUGUUGGGGAUGGACUCGCGGCUUAUGAGCUAGAUGGUGGGGUAGUGGCGUACCAAGGCUAUGACGGGUAGCCGGCAUGAGAGGGUGACCGGCCUCCUUGCGCCUGCGGUAGGGCCCAGUCUCCUAUGGGCGGCAGCAGUCGGGAGUAUUGCACAACGGGCGGAAGCCUGAUGCAGCGGCGCCCCGUGCGGGAUGCCGGCUUUCUGGUUGUAAACCGCUUUCGCCUGUGACGAAGCGUGAGUGACGGUACUUGGUAAAGAAGCCCCGGCUAACUACGUG
rnacentral:rRNA from 1 species